UGUUAAUAAAUGCUGUGGCCUGUUUUCUCCAAGAAGUUGUCUGUCGUUAUUUGAAGGGGUAAGUUAUGGUUUUAUGGGGGAUGAAAGGAAUGCUAUCCAAUGCCCACUAUGUACAUACAAGAACUGUUUAUGUAGAUUUUCAGUAAAGGUGAAAGUGAAACUAACAUUGUACGAGGUUUAGUUUCUGCUGCGUCACGAAAAAAGAAAGAAAAAAGAGAGCUGUUUAAAAAGCUGUCGGUUUCUUCAGA